rnacentral:rRNA from 1 species
CAGUCGCCGCGGUAAUACGAGGGGGGCAAGCGUUGUUCGGAAUUAUUGGGCGUAAAGGGUGCGUAGGCGGCUUGACAAGUCUUGUGUGAAAUCUAUGGGCUCAACCCAUAGUCUGCACGGGAAACUGUCGGGCUUGAGAAUGGGAGAGGUGAGUGGAAUUUCCGGUGUAGCGGUGAAAUGCGUAGAUAUCGGAAGGAACACCUGUGGCGAAAGCGGCUCACUGGACCAUUUCUGACGCUGAUGCACGAAAGCUAGGGGAGCAAACAGGAUUAGAUACCCGCGUAGUCCCUGUCUCUUAUAA